rnacentral:rRNA from 1 species
CGGGAGGCAGCAGUUAGGAAUCUUCCACAAUGGGCGCAAGCCUGAUGGAGCGACACUGCAUGAGGGAUGAAGGUUCUAGGAUCGUAAACCUCUGAACCAGGGACGAUAAUGACGGUACCUGGGUAAUAGCACCGGCUAACUCCGUGCCAGCAGCCGCGGUAAUACGGAGGGUGCGAGCGUUAUCCGGAAUCACUGGGCGUAAAGGGCGUGUAGGCGGUUUAUUAAGUCUGAUGUUAAAGACCAGAGCUCAACUCUGACACGGCGUUGGGUACUGAUAAACUAGACCACUGGAGAGGCAAGUAGAAUUACCAGUGUAGCGGUGGAAUGCGUAGAUACUGGUAGGAAUACCCAUGGCGAAGGCAGCUUGCUAGACAGAGGGUGACGCUAAGGCGCGAAAGUGUGGGGAGCAAACCGGAUUAGAUACCCGGGUAGUCCACACCCUAAAC